UACGGAGGGUGCAAGCGUUAUCCGGAUUCACUGGGUUUAAAGGGUGCGUAGGUGGGUAGGUAAGUCAGUGGUGAAAUCUCCAAGCUUAACUUGGAAACUGCCAUUGAUACUAUUUAUCUUGAAUUUUCUGGAGGUGAGCGGAAUAUGUCAUGUAGCGGUGAAAUGCUUAGAUAUGACAUAGAACACCAAUUGCGAAGGCAGCUCACUACGGGAAUAUUGACACUGAGGCACGAAAGCGUGGGGAGCGAACAGG
rnacentral:rRNA from 1 species